rfam:Canis lupus familiaris chromosome 7, whole genome shotgun sequence.
AGGAGCAACAGCCCUAGUGGCGGGGCAGCUCUGCAGCCCUGGAUUCAGCUCCGGCAGGAACUCCGGAGCUCUCCGUCUGCAGGGCCUGGAGGCUCCGGGGCGGG